rnacentral:rRNA from 1 species
GACGAACGCUGGCGGCGUGCUUAACACAUGCAAGUCGAACGGAAAGGCUCCAGCUUGCUGGAGUACUCGAGUGGCGAACGGGUGAGUAACACGUGGGUAAUCUGCCCUGCACUCUGGGAUAAGCCUGGGAAACUGGGUCUAAUACUGGAUAUGACCUUUCUCCUUAUGGGGUUUGGUGGAAAGUUUUUCGGUGUAGGAUGAGCCCGCGGCCUAUCAGCUUGUUGGUGGGGGGAUGGCCUACCAAGGCGACGACGGGUAGCCGGCCUGAGAGGGUGAUCGGCCACAUUGGGACUGAGAUACGGCCCAGACUCCUACGGGAGGCAGCAGUGGGGAAUAUUGCACAAUGGGCGGAAGCCUGAUGCAGCGACGCCGCGUGAGGGAUGACGGCCUUCGGGUUGUAAACCUCUUUCAGCAGGGACGAAGCGUAAGUGACGGUACCUGCAGAAGAAGCACCGGCUAACUAUGUG